AAUUCAUCAAGAGUGGUGGAGGGACUGGCCCUAUGAAACCCGGCAACCUGUUUAAGAAACGUGGUGCUAAUUCCAGCGGCAACGCCGAAAGAUGACGC
rfam:Clostridiales bacterium S7-1-4 contig53, whole genome shotgun sequence.